UACGUAGGGGGCAAGCGUUGUCCGGAAUCAUUGGGCGUAAAGCGCGCGUAGGCGGCCCGGUAAGUCCGCUGUAAAAGUCCAGGGCUCAACCCUGGAAUGCCGGUGGAUACUGUCGGGCUAGAGUCCGGAAGAGGCGAGUGGAAUUCCUGGUGUAGCGGUGGAAUGCGCAGAUAUCAGGAGGAACACCGAUGGCGAAGGCAGCUCGCUGGGACGUAACUGACGCUGAGACGCGAAAGCGUGGGGAGCAAACAGG
rnacentral:rRNA from 1 species